rnacentral:rRNA from 1 species
UACGGGGGGGGCAAGCGUUGUUCGGAAUUACUGGGCGUAAAGGGCUCGUAGGCGGCCAACUAAGUCGGACGUGAAAUCCCUCGGCUCAACCGAGGAACUGCGUCCGAUACUGGUUGGCUUGAAUUCGGGAGAGGGAUGCGGAAUUCCAGGUGUAGCGGUGAAAUGCGUAGAUAUCUGGAGGAACACCGAUGGCGAAGGCAGCCCCCUGGGCUAACACUGACGCUCAUGCACGAAAGCGUGGGGAGCAAACAGG